CAAUAGCGUAUAUUAAAGUUGUUGCGGUUAAAAAGCUCGUAGUUGGAUUUCUGUCGAAGACUGCCGGUCCGCUCUAUGAGCGUGUAUCUGGUUAGGCUUUGGCAUCCUCUUGAAGAACGUUGCUGUGCUUAAUUGCAUGGUGCGGAAUUCAAGACUUUUACUUUGAGGAAAUUAGAGUGUUCACGGCAGGCAAGCGCCUUGAAUACAUUAGCAUGGAAUAAUGGAAUAGGACCUCGGUUCUAUUUUGUUGGUUUUCGGAGCGCGAGGUAAUGAUUAAGAGGGACAGACGGGGGCGUCCGUACUCUGCCGUUAGAGGUGAAAUUCUUGGAUCGGCGGAAGACGAACUACUGCGAAAGCAUUCGCCAAGAAUGUUUUCUUUAAUCAAGAGCGAAAGUCAGAGGUUCGAAGACGAUCAGAUACCGU
rnacentral:rRNA from 1 species